UUGAUCCUGCCGGACCCGACUGCUAUCAGAGUGGGACUAAGCCAUGCGAGUCAACGCAGCAAUGCGUGGCAUACGGCUCAGUAACACGUAGUCAACAUGCCCAGGGGACGUGGAUAACCUCGGGAAACUGAGGAUAAACCGCGAUAGGCCAAGGUUUCUGGAAUGGACACUGGCUGAAACCUAUAUGGCCCCUGGAUUAGACUGCGGCCGAUCAGGCUGUUGGUGAGGUAAUGGCCCACCAAACCUGUAACCGGUACGGGCUUUGAGAGAAGGAGCCCGGAGAUGGGCACUGAGACAAGGGCCCAGGCCCUAUGGGGCGCAGCAGGCGCGAAAAUUCUGCAAUAGGCGAAAGCUUGACAGAGUUACUCUGAGUGAUGCCCGCUAAGGGCAUCUUUUGGCACCUCUAAAAAUGGUGCAGAAUAAGGGGUGGGCAAGUCUGGUGUCAGCCGCCGCGGUAAUACCAGCACCCCGAGUGGUCGGGACGAUUAUUGGGCCUAAAGCAUCCGUAGCUUGUUCUGCAAGUCUUCCGUUAAAUCCACCUGCUCAACAGAUGGGCUGCGGGAGAUACUACAGGGCUAGGAGGCGGGAGAGGCAAGCGGUACUCAGUGGGUAGGGGUAAAAUCCUCUGAUCCACUGAAGACCACCAGUGGCGAAGGCGGCUUGCCAGAACGCGCUCGACGGUGAGGGAUGAAAGCUGGGGGAGCAAACCGGAUUAGAUACC
rnacentral:rRNA from 1 species